AUGGCGGUGCCGCUUCUGACGAGGAAGAUCGUGAAGAAGCGGGUCAAGCACUUCAAGAGGGCCCAUAGCGACCGCUACAUCGGCCUCAAGUUGCGGUGUAUUCCUAAUUUAUCGUUAACCUUGAAUAGCACAAUGACCAGCUGGCGCAGGCCAAAGGGUAUUGAUUCCCGUGUCAGGAGAAAGUUCAAGGGAUGUACUUUGAUGCCCAACAUUGGCUAUGGUUCUGACAAGAAGACCAGGCAUUACCUGCCGAACAAGUUCAAGAAGUUUGUUGUCCACAAUGUCUCCGAGCUGGAGCUGCUUAUGAUGCACAACAGGACAUACUGUGCUGAGAUCGCCCACAAUGUCUCUACCAAGAAGCGAAAGGACAUUGUGGAGCGUGCUGCGCAGCUGGAUAUUGUUGUCACAAACAAGCUUGCUAGGCUUCGGAGCCAGGAGGACGAGUGA
rnacentral:rRNA from 1 species